rnacentral:rRNA from 1 species
GAUGAACGCUGGCGGCGUGCCUAAUACAUGCCAGUCGAGCGAACGGACGAGAAGCUUGCUUCUCUGAUGUUAGCGGCGGACGGGUGAGUAACGCGUGGAUAACCUACCUAUAAGACUGGGAUAACUUCGGGAAACCGGAGCUAAUACCGGAUAAUAUUUUGAACCGCAUGGUUCAAAAGUGAAAGACGGUCUUGCUGUCACUUAUAGAUGGAUCCGCGCUGCAUUAGCUAGUUGGUAAGGUAACGGCUUACCAAGGCAACGAUGCAUAGCCGACCUGAGAGGGUGAUCGGCCACACUGGAACUGAGACACGGUCCAGACUCCUACGGGAGGCAGCAGUAGGGAAUCUUCCGCAAUGGGCGAAAGCCUGACGGAGCAACGCCGCGUGAGUGAUGAAGGUCUUCGGAUCGUAAAACUCUGUUAUUAGGGAAGAACAUAUGUGUAAGCAACUGUGCACAUCUUGACGGUACCUAAUCAGAAAGCCACGGCUAACUACGUG